UACAGGGGGGGCAAGCGUUGUUCGGAAUUAUUGGGCGUAAAGGGCGCGUAGGCGGCUUGGCAAGUGGAAGGUGAAAUCCCUCGGCUUAACCGAGGAACUGCCCUCCAAACUGCUUCGCUUGAGACCGGGAGAGGUGAGUGGAAUUCCCAGUGUAGCGGUGAAAUGCGUAGAUAUUGGGAGGAACACCAGUGGCGAAGGCGGCUCACUGGACCGGUACUGACGCUGAUGCGCGAAAGCGUGGGGAGCAAACGGG
rnacentral:rRNA from 1 species